UGGCCCCUGGGAGGAUUUAACCCACGACCUUCGCGUUAUUGGCACGUCGGUCUAACCAACAGAGCUAAUGGGCC